rnacentral:lncRNA from 1 species
UGCUUCCUAUUGGAGUUGGUGGUUUUAUUUCCUGAUGCAUUUUAUACUUUUCUUGUUCUUCCGAGGUUAGGCUUGCUGAGACUUCUGUGGGGCUAUUCUGAGUCCUAGACUGAGAGAGUACUUCUCCAGCGAAUACCACCCACCAGCUGGCACAACCAAUCAGCUGGCAAAAUAAAUUCAGAGUAUAGACCCAAAUCAGGGUCAAUAUGUGUUCGAAAAUCUCUUUGGAGAAAGAGCUUUUGACUUGUGAGUUUGUUUUGUGUUCUGUUUUGUGUUUUUUCCAAAUCAAGGUAGAUUUUCUAUACUAGGAAACGAACCACUUAAGAAUACACUCAGUGGAAUUUUGUAAAUCAGCCUUACAGAAGGGUCACCACCAUCUGAAUACACUUCCAGUAUGCUUUCUUAACUGCAAAUGGAAGCCCUUUGCAGAGUAGCAAGCAGUUUCUUCCCACUAUCUGCUCUUCUAGUCCCAGUCAACGACUAAAGUGCCUUCUACACCUAUAGAGUUGCCUGUUCUGGGUGUGGCGUAUAAAUGGAAUCAUACAGCAUUUGCUGUUACAAUCUAAUUUCUGCUUCCAGGUGGGGUAGUAGAGGUCAAACCCUUAUUCAUGUGAGGCAAGUGAUAGACACUGAGCUAGAUUGUCACCUUUGUAACUACUGGGAAGAAGGCUGCCUUAAACAUUCCAGCACAAGUAUUUGAUAGAACCCAUAGAUGGCUUCGGGUAUCAAUGUCAUCUUCCCAACAGUGUCUUCUCAUUCAGGAACAAAGUAGGUUUCUCUGAGGGUUUAGGUUUUAUAUUGGCAUUUUUGUAAUGCAAUGUUUGUUGUCUCUUUGCUUAAAUGUAUUCCUAAGUAUUUUGUUCUUUUUAAUGCUCCGUA